rnacentral:rRNA from 1 species
AGUUCGAUUAUGGCUCAGAUUGAACGCUGGCGGGAUGCUUUACACAUGCAAGUCGAACGGCAGCACGCGACUCGCCAGGUCUGGUGGCGAGUGGCGAACGGGUGAGUAAUGUAUCGGAACGUGCCUAGUAGCGGAUAACUACGCGAAAGCGUAGCCAACAAUGCGUAUACGGCCCUUCGGGGGAAAGCGGGGGACCUUCGGCCUCGUCUAUUAGAGCGGCCGAUAUCGGAUUAGCUAGUUGGUGGGGUAACGGCUCACCAAGGCGACGAUCCGUAGCUGGUUUGAGAGACGACCAGCCACACUGACCGAGACACGCCCAGACUCCUACGGGAGGCAGCAGUGGGGAAUUUUGGACAAUGGGGGAACUCCUGAUCCAGCCAUCCCGCGUGUGCGAUGAAGGCCUUCGGGUUGUAAAGCACUUUUGGCAGGAAAGAAACGGCACGGGAUAAUACCCCGUGCAACUGACGGUACCUGCAGAAUAAGCACCGGCUAAUCACGUGCCAGCCGCGGUAAUACGUGUAGGGUGCCGUUAAUCGGAAUUACUGGGCGUAAAGCGUGCGCAGUGUUCGGAAAGAAAGAUGAAAUCCCAGAGCUUAAUCUUGAACUGCAUUUUUAACGGUCGAAGCUAGAGGUCAGAGGGAGGUGGAAUUCCGCGUAGCAGUGAAAUGCGUAGAUAUGCGAGGAACACCGAUGGCGAAGGCAGCCUCCUGGGAUAACACUGACGCUCUCGGUGCACGAAAGCGUGGGAGCAAACAGGACGACCGGUAGUCCACGCCCUAAACGAUGUCAACUAGCUGUUGGGCCGGCCUUGGUAGCGCAGCCAACGCGGGUGAAGUUGACCGCCUGGGGAGUGCCGUCGCAAGAUUAAAACUCAAAGGAAUUGACGGGGACUCCGCACAAGCGGUGGAUGAUGUGGAUUAAUUCGAUGCAACGCGAAAACUCAUCACCCUUGACAUGUCUGAAUCCCGAAGAGAUUUGGGAGUGCUCGCAAGAGAACCGGAACACAGGUGCUGGCACGGUCGUCGCUCGUGUCGUGAGACAGCAAGUUAAGUCCCGCAACGAGCGCAACCCUUGUCAUUAGUUGCUACGAAAGGGCACUCUAAUGAGACUGCCGGUGACAAACCGGAGGAAGGUGGGGAUGACGUCAAGCUCUCAUGGCCUUAUGGGUAGGGCUUCACACGUCAUACAAUGGUCGGGACAGAGGGUCGCUAACCCGCGAGGGGGAGCCAAUCCCAGAAACCCGAUCGUGGUCCGAAUGCAGCAAGUCUGCAACUCGACUGCGUGAAGUCGGAAUCGCUAGUAAUCGCUGAUCACAUGUCGCGGCAACAUGCCCGUCUGCGUGUACACACCGCCCGUCACACCAUGGGAGUGGGUUUUACCAGAAGUAGUUAGCCUAACCGUAAGGAGGGCGAUUACCACGGUAGGAUUCAUGACUGGGGUGAAGUCGUACGAAGGUAG